rnacentral:lncRNA from 1 species
UUAAGUUCAAUUAAAAAAAAUUGCUCUGCAAUAAAAUUAUUUUUCUGUCAUUUAUAUAAUUUCAUUCACUAAUUUGUGUAUGCAAGGAGAACCCACAGUAUAAUUUCUUUUUGACGCAGAAAUCGAGAGAACCCUUCACGGAGACGCAGGAACGCAAGAGUGGAUUCUAAAAAAGAAGUUUCCUCUGAUCACUCAGAUUCCGAAGAAGAACCAAUGGCUGAUAAUCCUCUUAUUCCAC